rnacentral:lncRNA from 1 species
GGGCCGUGAGCGCCGUCUGGGGAGGUUGGGAAGACGUGCGUGCAGACGCGAUGCUGGUGGGCGCAGAAAGGCUGUGGAACCUCUUGGGUGUGACACUGUGUUUGUAAAAGGGGACCCAGCUGACCUCGAAAGGGCCCUGUGUCAGGGGACCCCGAGUGUCCAGAGCCAAGGACCACGCCGGGCUCCACGAUUUGCUAGGAGGACUCACAAGACCAGCGGACACUUGGACUCAGGUUAGGGACCUAAAUCUGGCCGCUCAGCACAUCACAGGUCAAUCAACAGACAGGAAGUUCUACAGGCAUCUAUCCGAACCCCUGGAGUCUCCAGGGGAAGGGCCCAGGAACCCGCAUGGCACUUGCACCCGCACGCUGUCCUGGGAAUCUCCAAAAGCGCCCAGGGAGACACGGAGACAGAGGUGGUCAGGACAAGAACAGCAGGUGUGCCCCCAAAGUGGGGUCCCAGCGAAGGCUUCUAAGCUCAGCAAACUCUGCUACCACUAGGAAGUAGGAGUGGCCUCUGUGUUGCCCUUGACUUACCCUCAUCUUUGUGAGCUCCCCGUCCUUUCAGAGAUGGCCGGCUUAGAGGGGCCCAUCUCAGAGGCAAAGCCACCACCUGCCCCACGUGGGUGUCCCAGAGCAGCAGGCUUAGGGUGGACUCCCCAUGCUUUGGUUGCCCCCCUCACCGGCACCUGACCUCUGUUCUGCUGUUUCCCUUGAAAUGGGCAAGUUGUACAUUAAUAAA